rnacentral:rRNA from 1 species
GACGAACGCUGGCGGCGUGCUUAACACAUGCAAGUCGAACGGAAAGGCCCUGCUUUUGUGGGGUGCUCGAGUGGCGAACGGGUGAGUAACACGUGAGUAACCUGCCCUUGACUUUGGGAUAACUUCAGGAAACUGGGGCUAAUACCGGAUAGGAGCUCCUGCUGCAUGGUGGGGGUUGGAAAGUUUCGGCGGUUGGGGAUGGACUCUCGGCUUAUCAGCUUGUUGGUGGGGUAGUGGCUUACCAAGGCUUUGACGGGUAGCCGGCCUGAGAGGGGGACCGGCCACAUUGGGAAGGAGAUACGGCCAAGACUCCUACGGGAGGAAGCAGUGGGGAAUAGUGCACAAUGGGCGGAAGCCUGAUGCAGCAAUGCCGCGUGCGGGAUGACGGCCUUGGGGUUGUAAGCCGCUUUCGCCUGUGACGAAUAGUGAGUGACGGUAAUGGGUAAAGAAGCAACGGCUAAAUACGUG